UAGAUAUGUGAGAAGAAGAAUCAAACUUUUCAUUUUCGAUCUUCUUGUUCAAGAUCCAUUCCUUUAGCUUUUGAAUGUUUUGGUGUGUGAAUUCUAAAGUGCUUCUAACUAAACCAUGUUUUGUUUGGGGGAAUUUAAGGUUUAGGCUUUUGUUGUUGGGUCCUUCCGCAUCUUUCCAUGCUUUUGCAUAGAUUUUUGCAAGAUCUUUUGGAUCAUUUAUAACUGACCUAUUAUAUAAUGGCACUUGUUUGGGGGUUGGUACAGAGGAUUCUUCCAUGCAAAUUUGAGCCCAUGAUUUGAUAAAUGAAGUUGAGCUUCUUCCAUCGAAGAUUGCAUGGUGAUUGGUUAUUCCAAUCGAAAAACCUUUGUUUUGAAAUUUGGUUACCUAUAUAUUGAGAAUAUAAAUAAUUAAUUAAUUGUUACCUUCCAACUAUAGCAAUCAAAUUUAAAGUGUUUACAAAUAUAAUACAAUCCAAAGUUAUAUAUAUAGCAAAACGUUGAAAUAACCAAUCACUAAUCAAUUAAUAAUAGUCGUCUAUUAAUAAUAGUCUAUUACUAAUAUUGGAAACAUAAAUAAUUAAGUGAUUGGUACAAUUGCAAGUAUUCCAAGAUCUAUAUUUGGAUUUUAUAAUCUAUCUAGCUAUUAGUGAUAUUUUAGAGAUAUUACAAGUCUAUUACUAGUAAUAUUCUAUCAAUGAAAGAAAUAAUGUAUUACUAAUGGAGAAAUUUAUAACGAGAAUGUCUAUCAUUGAUAAAUAUUUUACAAUACCUGUAUAAUUCAACUUUAACGCAUGGUUGUUAUACAUUUACUUAUUUAGCUAUAAAAGUUAUAUUCUUUAUAAUAAUUGUUAUAACUAAUCUUAAUUAAAUAAGGUUUGGUUCUUAACCAUGCAUUUAAGUGACUUAAAUGCAGUACGUAUGUUUUUUCCUUUCAAUUUAGUCCUUUAAAAAUUUUUAAUUUAGCAUUUUUGGUUAGUGAAUAAUGUCAAGAAAUUUUUUAGAAAGAAAAGAAAAAAAAGCUAUCUUAUAAGCAAACAAAAAGUAAAAAUUUCAACUAACUUCGUAGAAACAAACAGGGGGAAGAAAUUAGAAACCUUUUUUUCUUUUUGUUAAAAUUGAAACAGAUGAACAAGAAGAAGAACUAGCUGAAGAUGAAAAACAAAGAUAAUAAAACAUCAAAUGAAAGUGAUGAAGAAGAAAAUAUAAGGUGGGAAAACAAAAUAAGAAAAAGGCAAUAGAAAAACUUAAAUAUUGUGAUAUUCCGCUAUAUCAACCUAUCUAAAUUGAAUAUAUAGUGAUUGUCUACGAUUGAUUGUUCUUAUUAUUAAUUCCAACAAUUUCUUGUUGCAGAAGAAAGAAAGAGAAAAUAAAGAAAGAAAUAAAGUGAUAAUUAUCUGCAAUAUUGAACACAAAAUCUCAAAAUUUUAAAAAUAUUUUACUGCAUCUUAAAAUCUUUUGGUGUUUUCUUACCAAAAUUAACCUAAACGUAAGUAUAAUUGUUCUUUAUUUAUUUGGCAAUAUGCAUGAUUUAUUGUUUUCAGAUAAAAGGCAAAAAAACAAAAGCUUUUAUAAAAUACAGUAAAUUUUAUUUAGAUUAUGUCAUUUACCAUCAUUUUUCUAAGACUUUUUAUGAUUAAUUUCAUAAAUUUUCAAACAUCUUUAAUUUCCGAAGGACUUAUUCUCAUCCAUUUUGUUCUUAGAGAUACCUUAUUCACAAGGUAUACAUAAAUUUCUACAAACAUUUUUUAAAAACUUAUAAAAACAACCCAAAAUAUAAAAAUAAUAAAUUAUUAAAUAAAAUAAGUAAUCUAUUAUUUUCGAAUAACUAAACAUAUCUAAAUUUUAGAAGGAUAUAAUUCACAUUAAGAACGAAUUUAUUAUAGGCACCUGCCCCUCACAUUAUCGAUUUUUUAUUUUAAUAUUAAUUUUGAAGGAUUAGAUUACAAUAUAUAUUAACUUUAUUUGACCUAAAUUCUGCUUAUGCUAUAAUGGUUGUGCCCCUAAAUCUUGUCUGUUACAAUUAUUUUUACAAAAUAGAUUUUAUUCCAAAUAUCAAUAAUUUUCUUUCCUCAAAAAUUAAAUUUCUUUCUAGAUUUUCAUAAAAUAAAUUUUAUUCAAAACAUCACUAAUUUUCUUUUCUCAAUCAUCAAUAAUUUUAUUUCCUCAAAUAUCCGAUUUAUUUCUAAAUUUGAAUGAUUUUCUAAAAGGGAGAUAAUUUGAUUUCUUAGAAGGAAAAUAAUUUGAUUUAAAAGAGAGAUAAUAUUUUAAAAAGAGAAAAAAACUGAUCUCGAAAAAAAUCUUAACCUAUUUCCAGUCUUUCUUUAUUACUACAAUUUCUGAAACGUUGAGAUAUCUUUUAAACCGUGUUUAUUUUACUGUGCUCGGUGCUCCCUGUAUAAAAUUUAUAGAUCCGCCACUAGUUCACAUAUUGGAAAUAUCUACACGGAUGCAAACUGAUACUCUAUUAUCGCCUACUUAAGAAUUAGUGGUUAAGAACCUGAAUAGCAAUAACUGCAGCACGAUCAUGAGAGACUGUCAAUACAGGAACAAGAGGAUGAAAAUCCGAAACUUCUCGAAAUCCGUUACCAGAAAGAUGAUCAAAAUCAUCGUCGGACUCCGCCACCGUCAUGGAAACCCCAUUACCUUCUACAAAUUCAAUGACAGGUACAUCGGAUUGCGAUGGCCAAACGAGGUUGCCAGCCAAAGGAAGAUGGUGACAAAGAGCGAGAGAAAGAGAGCUCUUGAGCUUCGAAACAAUGACAUCGUAAGACGAGAUCUGAUUGGAUGGAAAUUCGUAGAAAAAAAGACGUUGAAUUGGAUAAAACCUUAACCAGAACAAAUCAAAGAAAGUGAGGGGAAGAGAUAUGGGCGCUGCCGCUGUGGGAGGAGGGGAGACUUUGGAGACCUCAAUUACUUUCAGAGAAGGAAAGUUAGCCAUCGGAAAUAAUAGAAAAGUGAGAAGAUAAUGGGUUGGAUCCUUUCAAAUCUUUGGGGUCUUUUAAAGGUCCAAAAACGUUGAAAACAACAAACAAAUCAUGACGUAUUGGCUUUCGUCUUUUUUACUCCUUGAAAUUAUGAAAUGGAAAGUCUUCUAGAAUUUCAAAAAUAUCGCUCUAGCCUGUAGCCUGUAGCCUGUAGCCUGUAUAUAUCAUUAUGAACGAAUAAACCAAAAAUAUUUUUACUCUUUCUAGUACAAAUACUAAUAGAUUCUAAUUUUUCUAAAUUUUUUUAGAAUUUUUAUUAUUUAAAAUAAUUUUUUAUAACAUAUAGGUGUAUUUUCAAAUAUAGAAUACAAAUUAAAACUUUUAUAAAAAUAUAGCAAAAUUUUAAAUCCAUCGAAAUCAAACGAUAAAAUUUAAAAUUUUACUGAAUUUUGUAAAUAUUUUCAAGAGUUUUGUCUAACGUAAAUGUCUAUUACAUCUGAUUUUUAUUAUAAAAUAUAAAUAUUUAGUCGAUUUUUAUAAAUUAUACUUUUAAAAUACGUAUUUCAAAUGUAAUAUUAUACCUGUCCUUUCAAUUUCAAUUCAUAUUUAAUUGUCUUUAUAUAUCACAUAUUAACUAGUGUACGAUUAUUCAUUAAAUAUAAGAGAAAUGCAUUCAAUUAUUGUUUGAAAAAGUAAAACCAUUUAAAGAAUGAUAUUCACAUGGUGAGAAAUGCAUUAAAUAUACCAAAGUCAAUCUCAAUUCGGUAUAAAUUCCAAAUUUACUCUAUCUUGGUAUAAUUAAAAUCUUCAUGUCUUAUCAUUUUUCCUUUUCAAGUUGCAGGGUUAAAUUUGUAAUUUAAGCUUUAAUUUAUAUAUAAAAAAUGGUAAUGGAUAAAACUUUUGUUAAAUAAUUGGCUAAUCUACUAUUAGGGAAAUAAUUGGCUAAUCUUUGUUUUUCACUAGUUGGAAGGAAAAUCUUCUAGAAUUUCAAAAAUAUCAUCAUUUGUAAAAUACACCAACAUAAAUCAAAAUAUUUAUAAAAUAUAACAGAAUUUUAGAUGUAUCACUAUUGGUAUUGAAGACAAAAAAAGUCUAUUAGUGUCUAUCAUUGAUAUAAUCUAAAUUUUACUAUAUUUUGUAAGUAUUUUCAACUAUUUUGUCAUUUAAAAUAAUUUCUCCAAUAUAAAUGUCUACUACAUCUGAUUUUUGUCAUAAAAUAUAAAUAUUUUGACAACUUUUAUAAAUUAUACUUUUAAAUAUUCAUUUCAAAUGUAAUAUUAAAAGUCAUCUCUUUUGAAGUGUAUUAUUAAUGGUCUUUUAUCAAAUGAGUUUAAAUAAGAGAAAUUGUAAAAGAAAAGUAAAAUGGACAAACUAUUUACACUUUGUGACAAAAGUGUAAUGAGUUUGGGUUUUUUAGUGAUUUUUUUGCCACAGUGUAAAUUGUUUGUAUUUUUUUUUAGAAAAUGAUACUUGUAUGGUUGGUAGGCGAGGUCGAUACCCUUUUAGCUCCCUCAUCAUUCUCAAUAGUUUGUAUUUUUUUUUUAUUAAAUCUAUCAAAAUCGAACCUUAAUUUGUUUCUUCAGGAUAUUUAUGUAUUUAAAACUCAUAGAGAAGGAUUUUGUAAUGACUCAAACUCUUAAAUUAAGCUGAGGUUCUUACCUAAAAGAUAAAUAUCAAUUUUGGCACUUUCUUGUAAAGAGAAAAACUAAAUCUUUAUUAAAAUAAUUUUCAAACAACUGUUCAUAAAACAAAAUUUAGCGAAAUCUAUAAAAUUCCAUGAAAACAAACUCGAGCUAAUUUUAACUAAUUAAAGAAAAUAAAUAAAGAAAUAAAAUGUUUACAAUCGAAAAGACUAAAAAUUAAUAAAUGAAAAGCGAAAGCAAAAUUGAAUCCUUCCAUAUGGCAUGUCAUGGACCCUUACUGUCGUUGACCAACUUUUCAGAUCCUCUACCAUUGCCUGAAAUAUUAAAAAUAGAAAAAUGGCGAGUAUAUAAAAAUAUAGCCAGCAACGGAUCCACCUAUUGGCCCCUCUAAGUGAUCUAUUAACUUCUCAUUAGGAGAUCCCAUAAGGUAAUAAUAAUAUCGUUUGUCCCAUGGAGCACACGUGAGCAAGUGGUACCGUAGGAACACUUUUAGUCGUGCGAGUGAUCCAUAGGUACACCUCUAAUUGUGCGAGUGAUUUCGUCAAAACACCCUUAGGCAUGCAAGUGAUUCUGUUAAAACACACCUCUAGUCGUGCGAAUGACUCCAUUUGAACCCAAUACAACUGAUACUUAACCGUGCAUAUGAUAUUUAGGUACACGUUGUGCAAGUGAUCCCGUAGGAACGCCUCUAGUCGUGUGAGUGACCCCAAAGGUAGAAACACAAUACAUGUGGGGUAAAAGCCUAACAACCAAAAUUAACAAACAUCAUAGUCCAAAAACAUGUGACAAUCAACAUGAAUCAUCAGUCAUAGCAAUUCAUAAUCAUGCAAUUCAUAAAACAUCGAUAAUCACCAUAAUACACCAACUAUCAACAACAAAAUCUCGUUAUGUAUUUGUAGUUAUUAUCAAUACAUAAUCAUAAAAUACGUGCAGAGUCUUAAAUUUAGUUCGAAGGUUCAAUAGUAGAAUCUCUUACCUGAUAUUAGCUAAAAGUAUUCCUUUGCUGAUAGUAAUUUUUUUCAAUUAUAUUAAAACAGAUCCUAAAUAGUAAAUUUUUUUUCUCAUAUCCUUAAUUAAUAAAAUUUACCAAUGGCUAGCUAGCAUCUAAAAUUUUUCAACUUAACUUAUCCAAUAACUUAAGUAAGAUUGAAUCAAUUUAAGGUUGAUGGAAAAUUUUCACAAAUUAAUUCCUACAAAAGUUUCCAAUUAAGCCUUAAAAAAAAUCUACCAAUUAGAUUUGAAAUUAAUUUAUCUUUAAUUUAACUUUAAUGACUAAUGGGAAAAUUUUCGCAAAUUAAUCUUUCAAAAACUUCUAGAAGAAAAAGAAUCCAAAUUUUAAUACAAAAAUUAAUUUAUCAAAAGCUUUAACUUAUAUAUAUAUAACCCACAUUAAACAUAUCCAAUUAAUUAUUCUUUACAACUUUAGCCCAUUCCAAUUGGUAUGCUUUAGUAACGAUAGGCUAUAUAAUAAUUGACCAUCACAAACAUAUCACAUACUACGCAUAUAAUUGUAUUACUAUUAUCAUACAAUAAUCUAACCCUCAAUUGAGGAUCCAAUAGUAGAACCCUUAUAUUUGGUUAUGACAAGUUUCCUACGGCAGAUAAAACCACAAUUUCACCUAUGUAACCAAAUUAAAUUAACAAUUUUUGCCAACAAAUUAAUAAUUUCAUUAUCUUAGCUUAUAAAGUUAUCGAAAUAGAGAUCGAAAAAUCCUCUCAACCUUGAUAGAAAAAUUCACCACUUAAAUCUUCAAGCUUUGUGAAAGAGACCUUCCAAAUAAAAGUAACCAAAAUCAAUUGCAAUAAUAAACUUAAUUUAUUUGAUUAUGGAUAUUUGCAGCCUAAUUGUGCUUUCACCUUGAUAAACAUAAAUUAAUUAAAAGGAAUUCCUCUCUAAUUAAUACUAAAAUGUGUUUCUUCUCUAAUUAUUUUUGUUGGAAGAAUGAUUCUAACAAUUCUUUCAAACUGUUUGUUGCGAUGUAGUCUUAAUGUCGAGUAGCUAACAUGUUCAUUUAUUUAAUUUUAAUAAUUAAAUAGGUUUGAAUUCGUCACUAACUAUAUUAAAGUGUGAUUGGUCAUCUAAAAAUUUUUUUAAAAAAAUUGUCUAAAAUUCAUGAGAUUUAAGUUCGGGAGUCUUUAGGAACGUGUUAGCACCCUACAGCACCCAUAAAAAUGAUUACCAAAAUUUAUCUCUUAAACUAAAUUAAAAUGGUUCACAAAACAAGGUUUUUUUAUUUAUCUUUUUAAAUGUCUCAUGGUUCUCAAUUCACACCGAAAAAAAUAAAACCUAAGCAAUAAUUAAUAAUUAUGAGUGUCAUAAGAGCAAUUAGAAAAAUGAAGUUUAUUUUUUGUUUCAAAAUAUGAUUUUAUUUUAUUAUUAUUCACCUUAAAAAUAUUAAAAUAUCAAACUUUAAUAUUUUAAUCUUCAUAAUAAGUAAAAAUAUGAUUUUAUUUUAUUAUUAUUCACCUUAAGAAUAUUAAAAUAUCAAACUUUAAUAUUUUAAUCUUCAUAAUAAGUGUUUAAUGAGAAAUUUCAUGUACAUAAAAUUAAUAAAUUCAUAGAAAACAAUACUUAGCCUCAUUUAAAAUAUGAAAUUGUUUAUAAUUUUAAAGAUAACUUAUUAAUUAAAUUUCAACCCGAGAAAUAGAAAUUUCAUAUAUUCUUGAUAUUUAAGUUAUAAAACCCAUAAAAAACAUUACAUAUUUAAAUUUUUAUAUUCAUAUUAGAAAAUAAAUAAAUAAAUAAUAAUAAUAGUAGCAAUAUAAUGUGAAAUUGAGAAAUACAGGUUGUGAAAUAGUUGUAAAAUAAUAUAGGUGUGAAAUAGUUGCACGAAAACUGUGAAAUAAAAUAAUAUGCACGAAGGCUGCGAAAUAAAAUAAUAUACAGAGAGACGGUUGUCACACCCCAAAUCGUACUAUGACCUUGGGUAGAGUCACUCGAAAAUUAAAGAAAUUUGACAAAUAAAUGUUUAAUCAUUACUCUUGCAAUUCUCUUGAAAAUGUAGGUAAAUCUACAACAUCUCAAUUGUUAAGCUCGAAAUCAAGUGGACAUGCAUAGACUGUGUCCCCUUCAAAUGAUGCUUCUUAUGUCAUUGUUGUAAUUGAGAAACUCUCCAUCUUUGUUAACAAACAGUACUUUGAAUCAGAAUCAUGUGAUGAGUGACUUAUACCAGCACUCUUGAAAGUAUCAUAUAAUGUUGGUAUAAAUUUUAGACUUGGGAUCAAACUCCCUCAUCUCUAGCUUUGUCGAACGCUUUUUCUUAUUUUCUUCUUCAAGCCUAAUCUUAUCAUAUACGAAUGACAUUUAGCUCAAAUCAAACAUCUCAUCAUUGCUCGAUGUGUUUAGAAGUGUUUCUAAGUUUGAUUCAAACAAUAUCUUCCACUUCUCAUCACCCUAGUGAUCAUAACUUCCACUUUAGGCCCAUGUGACUUUAUUACUUCAUUUAUAGCUGCUUUCAUUAUAGUUGCAUGAACAAUUUUAAAAGAGCAAAAAUAGUAUUCUAAUGCUUCCUCUGUCGCCUCAACAUAUGGGGUUGAUACCGAUUUUGUUAUCAGAAAUUUUCCUCUCCCAUCAAACAAAUCACCUACUCAACAAUAAAUUUCAAUUUUGAUGCAAUGUGGAUGACAUCACCCCUACAGAGUGAAUCCAAGGACGUCCUAAUAAAAAACUGUAAGUAUGUGUUAUUUCCAUUACUUGAAAGACUAUAUUGAAAGUACAUAAGUCAAACUUGAUUGGUAAUUCAAUGUCACCCAUUACAUCUCUACGUGACCCAUCAAAAGCUCUCACAACCAUAGUGCUUGAUUUUAUGUGUGACAUGUCCAUUGCAAGCUUGAAUAGUGUAGAUUUAGGCAUUGCAUUAAGAGAUGAACCACUAUCCACUAAAACUCUUGCUAUUGCAUAGUCUUUGCACUUUACUUGUGUUGGAAUUUAUAUCCUAAAACUCGUAGAUUGUACAUAUAACUCAUUGACCGUUAUUAAGAAAGUGUUAUUUUUAUAAUUGCAAUAAAUAUUAUUGAUUAUAUUAAUAGUUUUGUCUUAAUAACCCAAAUCCAAUAAACUAACAUCCUAAGAUGUUUGAUGAGUCUUGAACAGUAUGUAGAGACAUAUAGAAAUCAAUGUUCGAGAUCAGCUUAAAGGGUCUAUAGUAUAAGGAUAAGAUUGGGUACCUUAUCUUGGUAACACUAUGGAUACGACUCACUUUGUAUUUGAUACAAAUGCAAUGAUUUCAUUUGUGUAGUUGAUAUGCAAGUGAAGGUAUCUUGCAACGGAUUUGCAUAAGACCAGACCAUAAAAUAGUAACCACUAGUUAUAACUCCGUUUACUAGUUAGGUUUCUAUUUCAUUAGGAUGACCUAGUUAACUUAGUCUUAAUCAUGAGUGUAUUAUGAACUCUUGUUCGCGAGAGAUUGUUCUUUGUUUUGUACAAAUGAGAGUGACCAAAUUUCCGACUCAAUAAUCUUAUUAUUUUGGGGACAAGAUCGAGUGGAGAGUUGGAAACAUAAUUUACGCAAGAUGAAAUUCACUCAUUUUCUACUUUAGGGUACGUAGAUGGUCCCUUAAAUGGUGUUUUUGGGACUUGAACAAAUGACCUUACCCUCUCUAUGAUACAAGAGAAAUUUAUGUUUAUUGGUUGGACCAUAAACAUGUUGUUCAUUAGAGAAGCACAUGUACUUAAAUAUUAGAGGUAACCCAAGGAUCAAAUGGUAAGUUGAUCUAGCUGGUAUUACAAACACUCGUGAAUAACUAACUUACUGUUAUUGGUCGAUAUCCGUGGACACAGAAAUAUAUCUACAGUGAGAAGAGUUCAGCUAUGAGUCUUUGGUGGAAUGUACACACAGUUAACGAAUAUUGAUUAAUGUAGUUAAUGAGUUUAGCCAAUUAAUCUCAGAUUGUUGUAGCUUCUGAUCUAUAGGUUCAUUAGAUCCCCUAGCCUCUAAAGGGUAAUGAGAUUUAUUUAUGUUGGUUGUAAUUUGAAAUGUUCAAAAUUACUUUGAAAAUUAGUUUAAUGUAUAGUGAUACAUUAUAAUAUAAAGGUUGUCAAAUUUUUUUAUAUAAAUUUAAUUUUGGAUAUGAUUCAAAAUUAGUUUAUGAUAAAAUAUUUGAAUGAGUUCAAAUAUUAAUUUAAUAUGAAUUGAAUUCAUAUUAAAUUAUCUGUUAUGAUAUAAAUUUAUAUUUGAAUAUGAUUCAAAUUUAAUUUAGCUAUUAAUUAAUUAAUAGUUAUUUUUAUUUUAUUUAAUUAAAAUAAUAUAAAACUAUAAGAUAUCGGAGAGAUAUUCAUUAAAUAAGAUUUAAAUAAAAUAUUAAUUAAAUAUGAUAUAAUUAAUUAUUAACUAAUUGAUUAAGGGUUAAUUAGUUAAUAGAUUUAAAAUUUUUAUUGAUUUAAAAUUUUUAAAUUAAUAGAAUCACAAGAUUAUCUCCUAGUCCCUGAAGAAAAGAGAGUUAUAAAUAUGCGAAGGAAAAUUGUUUUUUGGUAAAAGAGUUUCUCUAAACAAUCUCUAAAUUUUUUCACAUACCAAUUGGUUCUCACAAACCAAUCUUAUCCUAGAGGAUAAGAAGGUCACCGACGGAUAGUGUCCCAAUUUGGAGAUUUAUUUUGUAGAUUCAGAGACGUCAAACAAGUAAAUUUUUCUCUCUCUAAUCUAUAAUUAGAAAACAUACUUAGCCUUUAAGUCUUAAUAAAAAAUUUUGUUUCUAUAUCAUUUUGCCAAUGUACUGAUAUUUUAGAAUUUCCAAAUUAAAUUGAGGAAUGAUUUUGUAAAAUCCUCCGUUGUCAUGGACUUUUAUCCCUUCAACUUGAAUAUGCAAUGCUUUUGUAUGACUUAAACCUUCAAGAGGAAAGUCAUCAUCCGUGAAGACUAUGAAAUUUGAAGACGUAAUGUUUCCAAUAAUGUUGUUAAACUUUUUCAUUCAAAUGUCAUGUCCAACUUGUGUCUUGUUCAAAAUAUCUAAUAGCACUUUGCGAUGAGACUCUGAAUUAAAAAACAAAGAUAAUAAAGAAAUUCGAGCUGGAGUAUGAUGCAUUUCCUCUAUGAUCUUAUACUUAUAUACUUUGUUUUACUAUUUUCAAGAAUUUAUUUGCUUCCUCAUCCGUAAUAGGCUUCUUGUAUUCUACAUCUUUUGCUAUUGAUAGAUAUCUCUACAUCUUGCUCUUUGCAAUGUUCAUUCACAUUUCUUCUCUAAUUUUUCCUCUAUUGCCCCAUUAUAAAACUACUUGAAGGAGCUAUUAAAUUAUCUAGUUUGUAACAUCUUCCACUUUGAGUUAUCUCGAUGAUUUCUGUAAGAUUAUAAACUGAAGGACCUGUAUUAAUGACAACUUGAAAAUCAUAUCGUCAUGACACUGCUUUCACAUUCUUAAACUUGAAAGGACUCGGUACUGGAUCGUGGGUUAUUUAGGAUUGUAGGAAGUUGACUCAUUACGACUUUCUUGAUAAAAGACCGUCAAAGGCCUUGGUAAAAAGGAUUUUUCCUUUUUUGCAACUUCAUCCAUUGAUGCACAUAUUUUAUUGUCUUUUAUCUCAUCAUUUCCUUGUCCUCUGUAUGAGUAUAUUUGAAUCCAUAAGUUGUUGUACUUUAGAUCUGAAUUUACAACACAGUUAGACAACGUGACUUGCAACUCUUUGAUGAAAUAUACAAUGUAUGUUUCCAUCGUAUCCUUCAUUUCUUAUGUUGGGGUCUAAAUAUUCCUGACUAACAUAUCCUGCUUCAAAAAGUGUUUUCAUAGACGUCACUAUCUCAUGAACUUUAUUUUUACACUUUUCAACAAGGCAAUCUACAACGUUCACUUUGAAUUUUCAUGAUUAGGCAGUGGAUUGUUGUUGACAUCCGGCUUCAACCAACUUUUUUGAAGCUUAACCAUCUAACAUUAAUUAAAGAUUGCACCUUUCUUUUAAAGGCCAAACAAUUUUCAGUUGAGUGUCAUGCUCCACCAGCAUGAUAAUCACAUCUAGCAUUUGAAUCAUACUAUUUUGGAUAAGGAGGUUGUAUAUGAUUCAUUGGAAUAAGAGCUAACUAUGGAUUUUGAAUUAGCUAGGGUAAAAACUCUGUAUAAGUCAUGGAAAUUGAAUCAAAAUCGCCAUGUAUCAGAGUUGGUCUUCCUACCAUGACCUUAUACAAAUGGUCGAUGAGAGUUUGAGUUAACAGGUUUUGGGGUUCCAAAGAAAGAGUGAGCUGGUACAUAGUUGUUAUAAGGGAUAUGAGAAACAUUGCUUAUAUAUGAAGAGAAAUUUUGGUCAUGUUUUCUUUGGCCAAAAAUCGAUUUGUGGUUCCCUAAAUUAGAAAACCCAAUUGCAUGAACCUCUCCUUCUUUCUUCUUAAAUGUUGUUCCUUUCUUUAAAUCCUCAUACUCAAUUGAAGCCUCUACUAACCUCCUAUGCUUUAUCUCAUAUUCAAUUCUUUCACCAAUAACAAUAAUGUCAGAAAAAUUGGUUGUAGUAUUACCAAUCCUUUGAUCAUAAAACAGAGCCCACAAAGUACUCAUAAACAUAGAUGUCAUUUCUUUGUCCGUUAAUGGUGGUUGAACCUCUGUAACCAUAUCUCUCCAUCAUUGAGCAUAUUCUUUAGAACUUUCUAAACUCUUCUUCUCCAUCCAUUGUAGGUCUAAACGAUCUGGUGCCAUAUUCAUAUCAUGUUUGUAUUGCUUUAGAAAUGCAUAAGCUAAGUCCUUUCAAACAUGAAUGUGUGCAUUAUCUAAUUGAAUAUACCAUCGAGUCAUUGGACCAAUCAAAUUGUCCUGAAAACAAUGGAUCAAUAAUUUAUCAUUACCAAUAUGCGCUGCCAUCUUUCUAUAGUACAUUAUAAGAUGACUCCUUGGACACUAUGAUCCAUCAUAUUUGUUAAAUUUAGGAACUUUAAACUUUGCUGGAAUUAUCAAAUCUGGCACCAAACACAAUUGUGUUGCAUCUAUAUUCUCAUAAAUGUCAAUCCCUUCAACAUUUCAAUUGCUUGCAACCUUUCUUCCAAAACAUCUAGUUUUUGCUUAGCCGGAGUGUUCUCAUUUUGUCCCAUGUCUUGAAUUUUAGUCUGAGCUUCCAAUUGUUAUAUUUCUGGAAUAGGAGGUGGAAUAGCAAAAAGCGAAUUCAUAUCAAUAUAGUAUUGCAUGGGUAAAUCUUGGAGGAUAAAUGGGAUCAUCGGUGUCUUGAACUCGAUUGCUUGAUUGUGUUGUAUCUACAACGACUUUCUCUUUUUUUUUAUUGAAAGCAAUUCCAGUAUUUUUGAAACUUGUUCCUCAAGCUUAUUAAUCUCUUAUCUCAUUUUAUCCAUGUCUUUAUCUUGUUCUUCCAUGAUUCGAUUUUUAUGCCUCAUAUGGUAAGGAUGUUGAAUUGAAGUAGGACGAGUGAUGUUUUCAUUUGAUGAUUUUGAAAACUUUAAAAACCAAAGAGAAAGGGAGAAAGAGAGAGAGAAAAUUUAUUAAAUAAUGAAUUCAAAUACAUUAAAGCCAAACAAAAUAUAAACCUGACAGAAUAAAAAUCAAACUAAAACAAAAAACAAACAAAAUGUAAUGAACACUCUCAUUUGUCAUUAAUUGCAAAAUAAGCAAUUAAUGAAAACGAUCAAAAUGCCCAAGUCCUCUACAUAUCAUCUUCAAAAUCCUAUUCAGAUCAUCUGCAUGAGGUUGCAUUGAGAAAAAAUUAAUCCUUAAAUUAGCUGCCCAUUCUGUAAAACUAUUUGCUCUUCUAGACAUUAUUUUGAGAAAUUUAAUCGUCUAAUCUACACAUUCAACUAACACCUGGAAAUCUUUUCUUUGCAAAAUCACAAUCAACCUUCACUUGCAUGUAAUCUGUCUUUAAUAAUUCGUAUUCUUGUACUAUCCCCUCACUUGAAUUUUGAAAUGCAAUAAGUUGAUAGUGUAAGGAAUCAACAUAAUUUUUCAGUAUUUUAUACUUUUCAGAGUACUCAACUAUCUUCACAUGUGGGUUAUCAUUUGUUUGAUGUAUAGAGUGAUUGUGUGCUUCCAAAUCUACUAUAUGUGCUUCCUGUUUUCCAAAUGAUGUAUUCAAAUCAUUGACAACUCGAGAAAAUAUCCUUCUCAAUUUCUAAAUCUUUAAUAUAUUCAUCUUGCGAUUCUAUUGUUGCCUGUAAUGUUGUCUUUUCAUUUUUCAAGCUUCUAUUUGCUUUACUCAUUUGCCUAAUCUCUUUAUCUAACACCUCAAAAUUCUUUUUUAACUUAUCUUGAUUUCUUAAGAAACUCUUGGUCUUUUCGAGCUCUUUCUACAAAAAAGUCACAUGAUCACUCAAUUGACUUGUCUCUUUACGAAGUUUCUCAUUCUCUUGCUCUAACAGUUGAUUUUUCUCUUAUAAUUUUAUGCUCUUCUCAGCCCACUAGUUUGAUUGUUCAAAGCUUGUCUCUUAUACCCUUUCAAUUGAUGGAAACGAUAGACAUGCGCAGCAAAAUAAAGAUCGAAUUUUACUCUAAUUGCAACUAAACAAGUUUAGUAAUUAACAUGCAUAAAAAUAAAACCCUAAAAUAACAUAGAUAGGGUUAAAAGAAAAACUUACCUUUGAAGUUUUUCUUCUCUUGUAUUCUCUUCACGAAUUUGAAGUCAGCACAACCACUAGAGUUUACCUCCUAUUCUUCGGACUUGGAACCGAGUUGUGGGACUAAAAAAUGGUGGAGGAAAUAGAGAGAGAUUGAUGAUAUCCUUUUGAUGAAAAAAUCUCAAAUGAAAAGAGUUCUUGGUCUUAUUUUGUAAUUCUCAAUUACAAAAUUAAUUUUCAAUUUCAAAUCCAAGAGUCCUUUCACAUUUGCAUAAAACUUGUUUACAAACAAACUACAUGCAAGAGCUUCCGUAUCUCACCACUUGACAUUCUUAGUGGGGUAGGUGUCUUACAUGCAAUAAGCCACUUGCAUACCACAUGCAAGUGAUAAGCUUGUCAAAUCUCAACCAAUGUUAUUAUUUAAAUUAGUUUAAGGUCAAUAUGGUAAUUCAACAUUUAAAUCAAAUUCAAAGUUUGACUUUUUCAAGUCCAAAAUCAACAUUUUAUCCGUCUUGACUAAUUUCAACCUCCCAAGCAUGAAUCCGUAUUCAUUUCUCCAAAAUUCAAAUCACAUUUGAAUAUAAAGUUAGUCAAAUUUUGAUUUUUCAAAGUCAAAAGUCAACAUUUUAACUUUUUACAUCUUUGACCUUUUUCAUCAAUUCUAAGCUUCCAAAUAUGAAUCCAUAUUCAUAUUUAAAUCACAUUUAAACAUGAAGCUCUAUCUUAAGUUAUAACUUAUAACUGUAUCAAAUAUAUUUGUCGGUUUCUCUCUAUUUACCUAAUUCAAACAAUUCAAAUUAUUCCAUCAUAAUGUUCUAAGUUGAUUCCUUAUGAACUAGCGGGGGAACCUAAUGAACCUAUAGAUCAUAGACUCCAACGUUCAGAGAUUAACUGACUAAACUCUUUAGACUGAGUUAAUCAAUCUUCGUUAACUAACGGGUCAUUAUACUAAAAUCCCGUAGUUGCACUCCCCUGACUAUAGAUAUAUUUGUGUCCAUGUGAUAUGACCAUGAUAAGUAAGUUAAUCCUUCAUAGGUUGUUCAUAAUCUCGACUGGGUCAAAGUACCAUUUUACCCCUGAUAUUAUAUAUUUUCUCCUUAAGUCCCACUGAUCCACUAUUGAACAAUUGGUUUAAGGUCCAACCUUUAAACCGAAUCCCUCUCGGGCCAAUGAGAGGGUGGGACCCCUUGUUCAAGACCUAGAUUUAGUUCUUAAGGAAACAACCUAUCUACUAACCCUAAAGUGGGUAGGAGUGAAUUCCAUCUUGCACCCUAUGUCCUUAGCUAUCCACCCAAUGUUACCCUUGAAAUGAGAGGCUUAUUGGGCCAGCACUAUUGAGUUGCCCUCACCUAUGCAGAUCUAUGAAUAAUCUCGUGUGAACGUAAUUUUAUAGUUAGCUUAGGAUUAAGAUUAAGUUACAUUGGAUAUCUAUAAACGAAAUAGUCAGUUUUACAAAGUUAACGGUUUUAUAACUUAAAAAUGACUAUUUCAUGGUUCCAAUCUUAUGUAAACUCUUUACAUAGGAUGCCCCAACUUUCAUGUCUCUACAUGAACGAUUCAGGAUCAUAUCGUUUAUACUAACUACAAAGUAGGCCGCAUCCAUAGUGUCCUCAAAAUAAGGUGCCCAAUCGUAUUCGUAUACUAUAGACGGUUUAGGCUAUAUACUCAAACUUGGUCCACAUUUAUGUCUCUACAUAAGGUUCAAGUUUACUCUAUUAUAGCAUUGAGACCUUAGUUUAUUGGCUUUAAGAUUAUAGUAUCAAUAACGACUUAUUGAAUAGAAUAUGAUUAUAAACCACGAGUUUUGGGACAUAAAUUUCAACAUCAACUACAUCCCUUAAGGUAUCUAUUACAUUUUUCCUUUUGUUUGCUUGCCAUGCCUCGUAUUCACUGGUAACUCCUUCAUAGUAUCAUUUUCCUUUUAUCUUCCUCACAGACUUCCAUGCACAUACUACUCGAUAUUUUUUUCUUGACAAUCUUCAAGAUCGUAUGAAAAGUCAGAGUCCUGUAGAUUAUGAGUUGGUGGUAUAAACUGUUUGAGCCACACUUGACACAAAACUAACAAUGGUGUAGAGUUAACACCUUCUUGUGGUCCCAACAAAGGCACACUAUGAAAAUCUCCACAUCUAUAAAUCAUCGCCUUCAAAGGCAUCCAUUGAGCCUUCCAUAUGACAUUUUCAAAACUCAUUGUUGAAAAGAAAGACACCCAACCCAAGUCUCCAUCCUUAGAUAUGUUGGGUCCCAAACUGCCAUACCAAACUCACUAACAACGUUCCACAAUAAAUUUCAUGAUCUACUAAAAUCUAUCCUUGGACGCCUAAACUCUGCUAGAAAUUUAAUAUGGUUGUGUAUCCAAAUAUAUAAUAAAAGGACACAACAAUUCAAUUUUUCUUCCCAUUUAUUUCUACAAUAGGUAAGAGAUUGAAAAGUUUAAGCCAAUAUAGGUAUAAUAGGAUCAACUCCUCGUUCUAUUUUAAAAAAUAAUCUGAUCACUUUCUCAUAAACAUAACCCUAUACUUUAGGAAAAAUCACCGCUCCAUAAAUGCACAACGCUAAGAGAGUAAAACAUUUGUCUUGAUCAAUGUAAGUUUGUGCCAUCUUUAUUAAAUAGUCAAACGACACAUUCUCCUCCAAACCCUGAACUUUUACAUGCUUUUGAAUUUCUGUGGCAUGGACGGUUUCUAAAAACUUUGAUAAAGUCCUAUUUGUUAUUUGCUUAGGGUUAAAGAAAUUAAUAAUAAUUUCCCUUUUUUUUUCAGGCAUGCUAAGCAUAGCGUGAUAUUCUUCUAUAGUUGACAAUAAAUCACACAACCCAAACGUGAAACAACCGUAUCUGGAUUCAAAUAUUAAUUAUGACUCUUAAAGCAAAAUAAUUCACCGGUAUGUACAUCAACUCUACUGUAUGUCCAUACUUCUUUGAAAACAUGAAUCUUCGUUGAGGUGUCAAUGCCUCCCAGAUCAUCUUUAGUUUCGCUAAAUCAUUUUGUGUAGAAGAGAGCUGACACAUGGAUAGUACUAAUACUUGAGAAGAACUGUUUAUGCUAUCCUAAAUUUUUGUUGCAUCUCUUUAGUCCAUUUCAGAACAUUGCUUGACUCAUCAAACUUAGAUUCAAAAGGUGAAUGCAUCGACAUAUUAGACAACUUGGCAUUUCAAUACUAUUACUUUUUUGCACAAUUAUGAUAAAAAAAGACAAAAAUAAAAACAUAUAGUCAAUUCACUUCACACAAAAAAGUAAAAAAUAAAAAGAAAAAGAAAAAAAGAAAAAAAAAGAGUAAAUAAGGUUUUGAUGCACUUGUAAACACUACUCUUCUUAUUAUUUUUUAAACAAAUAUUUAAUUUUAGAAAAUGUAAAUGUUUUCAUGCACUUAGAAGCACUACUCUUCUUAUUAUUUUUUUAAAAAAUUAUUUAAUUUUAGAAAAUGAAAAGUUUUCAUGCACCUCUACCAUGUAAACACUCUUUUCCUCAUUUUUUUUUUUUUUUAAAAGUCAUUUAAUUUUACAAAAAGAAAAGUUUUCAUGCACCUGUUCAAGGUAGACGCUACUCUCCUUAUUGUUUUUUAAAAAUAUUUAUUUAAUUUGAAAAAAAAUGUAAAGGUUUUCAUGUACCUCUACAAGGUAAAUAUUAUAAUGUUAUUCCCUUAUUAUAAUGUUAUUUAAAAAGGGUUGGUAUCAUUUAAACUUCUAGAAGGGAAAUGCCCUCAAACUUAUUAUAAUGUUAUUUAAGAAAUAACAAAAGAAUUAAUCUGAUCGAGGAUCUUUCAUGUGAUUGUAUAAAAGUCGAAACCCCUCGAAGGUCAACACUACUCCCUCCUCAAUUCUAGUCCUAUAAGGUUGUAGCCCGAGUAGAGGGCUUGUGAAUGUGUAAAAUGCAUGAUGAUAUAUAUAUAAAAAAACAGACCAAUAACAUAGUACAAAUUAAUAUUCCAUAUGAAUCAAAUCAAAAAACAAAUAAUUAAGUGAACCAACAAAUCAUAAUAGACUAAGAAUAAAGGAUAAAAAUAUAACGAUUUGUCUCUCUUAAACACUUUUUAAGUCCACAAUGGAAUCGUCAAGUUGUUGCGACUUGGUUGCAAUGCGCCAAUGUUCUCGUUUAUUUAAUUUUAAUAAAUAAAUAGGUUUGGAGCCACCACCAACUAAGGUGUGAUUGGUCACCCAAAAAUAAAAAUGGUCUACCCAAAUUCAUGAGAUGUAACUUCGAGAGUCAGUUAAGUGUAGGAAAUGUGUUAGCACCCUACAACACCCAUUAAAAUGAUUACCAAAAUUUAUCUUUUAAACUAAAUUAAAAAGGUUCACAAAACAAAAAUUUUUAUUUUGUUUUUUUAAAUGUCUCAUUGUUCUCAAUUCACGUGAAAGAAAAUAAAACCUAAACCUUAAUUGAUAAUUAUGGGUGACAUAAGAGUCAUUAGAAAAAUAAAUUUUAUUUUUUUAUUUUAAAAGAUUAUUUUUUCAUUUAUUGACCUCAAGAAUAUUAAAAUAUCAAACUUUGAUAUUUUAUUAUCCAUUAUAGGUGUCUAAUGAGAAAUUCCAUGUAUCUAAGAAUUAAUAAAUUCAUAAAAAACACUACUCAGUUCUCAUUUAAAAUUCUCAUUUAAAAUAUAAAAUUAUUUAUGAUUUUAAAGAUAAUUUAUUAAUUAAAUUUCAAAUGAAGAAACUUAAUCAUGAAAUUUAAGUUAUAAAACCCAUAAAAAAUAUUGCUUCUUCACUAAUUUAAAAUAAUAUGUAGUGAGUCUGUGAAAUAAAAUAAUAUGUAGGGAGAGAAAUAAAAUAAUAUGAAAGGAGGUUGCGAAAUAAAAUAAUAUAUAGGGAAUCUCGGUGUGAAAUAAAAUAAUUAUAUGCAGACAUGUUGUGACAAAAAAUAGUAUAGUGAGAUAAAUAACCGCAAAUAAAGAACACAAGCAAACAAAUAAAUAAUGCAUGAUGCCAAAUAAAUAAUGCACGAUGCCAAACAAUAAAUUUGAACUCAUGAUACUUAAAUUGACCUAAAUCUAAAAAACCGUUGAACCACGUAAUAAGUCUGGCAUAAAUAAAUUUAAAAUCACAAUGCCCAAAUAAAAUUAAUAUGAAAAGUAGGUAGUAAUGUAUGAAUCAUUUAAUUGGGAGAAGAAGUGAAAAAUAGCACAAAGUUUCUUCCUAUCUUCUCAACCCUCCCAAUUGACAACUAAUGGAAACAAUUUUCUUUUGCACCUCUCGCAACAAAAUCUUCCCCUCUAUUUUUUAUAGGGGAUAAGGUGAUAGUUUUUUAGAGAGAAGGAAGUGAGUCAAAGGCAGAGGAAGUGUUGAUGGAAAAAAAGAUCGAGAGAAAAUGGAGAGUAGUGCAUAUUGAGAGUGGUUAAGGAAAAAUAGGAAGAAGGUAACGUGAGAUUUUUCCUAUAUUUUUUCUUUUUUCAUUUUAAAAUAAUUCAAAUUCAUAUUUCUUUUAACAAAAUAUAAUAAAAUAAAUUAAAGUAAAUAAAUGAAUCUAAAGAAAAUGAAGGACAAAAUAUGUUUCCUUUAAAAUUAUUAUUGUAAGCCACUCCUUCCAAUUAAGCAUUUAUUGUUCUAACUUAUUGAGUUUUCUCUUCCUUAAUGCCUUUGAUUCAAUAUAUGAUAAGACAACUCCAAUAAAGUCAUGGUAUGAUAGGUAGUCCCUUGUUAGAAGUAUACCACACACUCCUCGUGGUGGAUCGUGACAAUGCCCACAACCUUACAAAAUGUUUUAAAGUUGUUGACGUUAGAGGAGUUUUCUUUUUAUUACAUUAUGUGUUUCGUAUCAUUAUUAUUUCAUUUAUUCCAUUAUGUAAAAAAAUGAUUUACAUAAAAUGUGAACGUGAAAUCAAAUUUCAUUACGAUCACACAACAUAUGCAGCCCAGACAAUAAACUUAAUCGUAAAAAAGCUGCAUUUACAUGAUUCUAUUGUUUUUCAUACUAUAACUAUCUUUUUUUUUCAUAUAAAUAUUUAAAUUUUUAGUUAAAUUCUAUAUUUUUUUAACUACUUUUUUUAGUUAACUCGAGUGUUUGAAACAUGGAUAAUAAAACAAAUAAAUCUUCUUAACAAAAAUAGCGUUUACCAAACUUAAGUUCUAAAACCAAAUUAAAAGGUUUAUAGUCCAUGACUACACACAAAUUAACUAUAAACAACUGAUGUUAAAAUUUAUUAAAUAAGACAUACAUAAAAGUCCCAUAUAGUCCCAUAUAGCUAAAAUGAAAAAAGUCAUAUAAACUACACAUGGAUAAAAUUGGAAUAGUAAAAACCUUUGGAAACAAUUAUCCGUAUGAUGAUCAUUUCAAAUAGAUUCAAAGCCUUGAUUAAAUAUAGCAACAAAAGCUUCCAUUUCAUCCCUUUCCUUAACAACACCAAUCUCCAUUACCGCAUCACUAUUUCUACUAUCAGUCAAAGAAAAAAAAUAUGGUGAUUCAGCUGACACAAUCUCCACUUUCUUUGGCUUUCCAAAUCCAAAAUCAGCGUUAUAAACUCCAAAUCUUGGUGAACCAGCUAGAGAAAUGGCUUGUGUUUCUGAAUAAUCAUAUGUCAGUUGGCUCAUUAUUGACCCCCAAUUCUCACACCCAUUUAAAGCUCCACCAUCCAAAUUUCUAAUAGCUUUUGAAAUCUCAUCACAAGCGAAAAUUAUUCCAUUUUCCCUCAAAAGCUCAAACCUUUCAAGACGAACAAAUCCAGCAACCAAACAAUUCCCAAAGUAAUUCAAUGGCACUUGUGGCUUUAAACGAAUUCUGGCAUCAGCUGCAAACACAAACCAUAAUUCUCCUUCUUUUAAACCUUCUAAUUUGGCUGUACAAACACAAAGAUAAGCUGUUGCUAUUGCAAAUGAAGAUAUGUCAGAAGAAGAAGAAUCAAAAUUUUCGUUUUUGAUCUUCUUGUUCAAGAUCCAUUCAUUUAGCUUUUGAAUGUUUUGGUGUGUGAAUUCUAAAGUGCUUCUAAUUAAACCAGGUAUUGUUUUGGGGAAUUUAAGGUUUAAGCUUCUGUUGUUGGGUCCUUCUAUGUCUUGCCAUGCCUUUGCAUAGAGUUUUGCAAAAUCUUUUGGAUCAUUUAUAAUUGAUCUAUCAUAUAAUGGCAUUUGCUCCGAGAUUGGUACAGAGGAUUCUUCAAUGCACAUUUGAGCCCAUGAUUUGAUAAAUGAAGUUGAGCUUCUUCCAUCUAAGAUUGCAUGGUGAUGGGUUAUUCCAAUGGAAAAACCUUCGUUUUGAAAUUUAGUUACCUAUAUUAAGAAUAUAAAUAAUUUAUAUAUUGUAUAUAUGCAAAUAUAGCAAUCACCUUUAAAUAGUUAUAUAUAUAAUACAAUACAAUGCAAAAUAAGUUUUAUAUAUAUAACAAAAUAUUGGAAUAUUCAAUCAUUAAUAAUAGUCUAUCACUAAUAUUGAAAAUAUAAAUGAUUAAGUAAUUGGUAGAGUUACAAGUAUUUCAAGAUAUAUCGUUAAUAAAAAAAUUCUAUUACAAUAGUGUCUAUCAGGUAUGAAUAUUUUGCUGUACUUCUAACUCUUUAACCAUGGUUAACUUAUUUGGCCAUAAAAGAUAUUUAUUAUAAUAAUUCUUAUAAUUACCCGUAAUUAAAUAAUACCUUAAUGGGUUAGUACUUAACCAUGCAUUAUUGAAGUCUUUAAUGCAGUACGUUAUUUUUCCUUUCAAUUCAGUCCUUUAAAAAAGUUUCAAUUUAGUAUUUUUCUUUUUGUUUGUUUCUCAAUUUAGUCUAUGAUGAUUAGUGAAUAAUGUCAAGAAAACUUUUAAAAAGAAAAGAAAAAGUAGUAAUUUCAACUAAUUUCGUAGAAUCAAAUAGGGAGAAGAAUUUAGAAACUUUCCCUUUUUAAUGACUUUUUUUUUUCUUUUAAAUGCCUUUGUACCAAUGUUCUAAUAAAUAAUGUCACUAAUAUUUAUAUAAUUUAAAUAAUAGUUUUUUUCAACUUAUUUGAAAAUAAUGUUUACUAAUUUUGGUGUUUCUGAGUGGUAGGUUUUUAUAACUUUUUCACACAUAUCCAAGCACCCAAUAAAAAUGUGGCACGUGACAUUUUUUUAAAAAAAUAAAAUGAUCGAUGAGUGUAAAAAAGAGUGAGAGUAUUCAAUUAAUCGCACCUAUUUAUUCAUAUACACGUAAUUUCUCGAAAGUAUAUUCUCUAAAAUUAAAAUACAUUAAACACAAUGAAUGAAAUCGAGAACUUUUAAAAGACGUUUAGAUCAGGGAGUUUGUUAUUAUAAUCUUAAAUUAUGAUAGUUCAAUUAUAAUAGUUUACAACCUAGGUGUAGAUUAUAAUUUUAGUCUGGUUUGAACUAUAAUGUUAACAAUAGUAAAUAUUACAUAAAAGAAUUUUAAUGAUUUACUUAAAAAAAACUAUAGAGAUGGACAAGUUUUAUAUUAUUUUGUGGGAAUGAGGCAUAACAUCUUUUCACCAUAUUUGGUGUAAGUUUUCAAUCUUGGGAAUGAUAGCAUCUUAUUCCAAAGGCAUUUCAUAUUCUCUUUCCAUGCAGAUUUUUCAUAACCUUCCAAAUAGGAUGAUUUCUCUCUCUCUUACUUCUUAUCUUUUUCAUUUUAUUUAUUUUUCCUUCUUUCUUCUUAUUAUUUAAUUCAAACAUUUUUUAUAAAUAUUUCUAAACUAAGCCAUCUAUAAUUGACAUUUGUAUUCAUUUUUAUUACUAAUGAUGCUAAUAUAAUAAUUUAUUCUAUUUUAUGAAUUACAAUAAUUAAACAUAAUUAUAAUUGCUUAAUUUUUUUCGACACCCUAAAUUGUUUUCAAAUACAAGAAAAAAAAAUCAAUCAAAAUAUUUACCAAACAUAUGUUUAAUAGAAUUUGAUAUUUCUUUUAUAUUCGUAGAUAAGUCGGCAGCUUUUUCAUUCGCAAUAAUUUUCUUCAAAAAUUUUAUACUUAAUUUCAUAAAUUAAGUACAAAUAUAGUUUUUGUUAUUCUCAUCCAUUUUUUUUCCAAGCAUACAUAAAUUUUUACAAACAUUUUUGAAAAACUUAUAAAAAAAUUAAAUUAGUAAAUAAAAUAAGUAAUUUAUUAUUUUCAAAUAAGUACACAUACGUAUGUUUUAGAUUCGUGAUAUUUUGAUGCUUAUAUAAAAGAGAUAUUGAUUCAUCCAUUGAAAACAUCUACAUGUAGAUGCAAAUUUGAUACCAAUUAAUUAUUACCUACUUUAAGAAUUUGUGGUUAAGUACCUGAAUAGCAAUGACUGCAGCACGAUCAUGAAAGACAGGUAAUUCAGGAACAAGAUGAUGAAAUUCGGAAACUUUUCGAAACCCGUUACUAGAAAGAUGAUAAAAGUCACCGUCGGACUCCGCCACCGUCAUGGAAACCCCAUCGCCCUCGUGAAAUUCAAUGACGGGUACAUCCGAUUGCGAUGGCCAAACGAGGUUGCCAGCCAGAGGAAGAUAGUGUUGAAGAGUAAGAGACAAAGAGCUCUUGAGCUUCGGAACAAUGACAUCGUGAAACGAGAUCUCAUUCGAUGGAAAUUCAUAGAAAAAAAGACGUUGGGUUGGAAGAAACCUUAGCCACAAUAAAUCAAAGAAAGUGAGGGGAAGAGAUGACGGCACCACCGCGGCCGCCGGAGGAGGAGAGACUUUGCAGACGUCAAUUAAUUUUAGAGAAGGAAAGUUAGCCAUCGGAAAUAAAAAGAAAGUGAGGAUAAUUGUUUAGAUUUUUUCAAAACUUUGUGGUGCUUUAAAGGUACAAAAACGACUGAAAGAAAAUACAGAUGACGACGAAUUGGCUUUUGUCUUUGCUUUUUAAUCGUUGGAAAGGAAAAUCCUACAGAAUUGCAAAAAUAUCGGUAGUAUCAUUUGUAUAAUACAUCCAAACAUUUAUAAAAUAUAAUAAAGUUUUACUGUAUUUUAUAAUUAUUUUUAAGAGUUUUAUUCUUUACAAUCAUUUUCUCUACUACAUCUCAUAUUUACUAUAAAAUAUAAAUAUUUUGCUGAUUUUUAUAAAUUAUAUUUUUAAAUAUUUAUUUUAAAUAGGUUUUUUUUUAAUAAAAAAAAUAGAACUAAGUGACAAAAUAUUUACAACGUAUAAAACAAUUUCAAAAACGAAAAAAAUUCACAAAUCCACAUUAGAAAAUAUAAAAAAUGUCCAUAAUUAAUUGACAUCGAUAUAAUAUAUUUUGGAAAUCAUGGUUCAGUAUUUGAAAAACGAUCGUUUAAAUCAAAUAUAAAUCUAAUAAUUUUUUAAUAAUUUUUAUUUCACACAAUUUUUUAAAUUUGGGUUGCCAAAUCUCAAUCAUUUUUUUCAAUUUUUUGAAGAAAUGAUCGUUUAUAUUUAGUACAAAACGAUUUUAUUAACGAUUAUUGGUACACGAGCGUUUAAAUUUAGUACAUAAUUGUUUAAAUUCGUUUUUUUAAAGAUUGUUUUGGUAAACUAUCAUUUAAAUUAAAUUUGGUACAGAUCGUUUAUAUUUGGCUCUUUAAAUUUGGAAAGCCAAAUCUAAACGAAUUUUUUAAAAGAUUCUUUGAUAUUUAAAUUUAGCUAUACACGAUUGUUUAGAUUUAGUUAUAUAAUAUUUCAAUAAUUUUUUUUUACGAUCUUUUAUAUUUGUUCCACAGUCUAAACAAUCAAAUAAAAAAAAACAUUGUUUAUUUGGUACAUAAACUUGAACUAAAUGAAAAUCGAGAAAAAGUAUGCAAAUUUCGUUAUGAUUACAAAAUUUUGGGAACAACCCAAACAACAAACUUAAUCUAAAAAAGGGGCGGACUAUUUAGAUCAUUGCAUUUGAUUUAUUGUUUUUCUUACCAUGAUUUUCAUCUAAUUUUUCUCACAUGAACAUUUAAAUUUUCACCUAAAUUCUAUAUGAAAAUUAUAUAUUUUUUUAACUUGUUUAAAACAUUCCUAAAAAUAGAUAAUAUAAGAUAAUGAAUCUUCUCACUGCAAAAUAAUGUCAAAUUAAGAUGUUUAUAGCCCUUACCUACAAGCAAAUUAACAAUAAAUUUACAACAAAUUAAAUUUAUUAAAUCAGACAUGCAUAAAGUAAUAGUAUUUUAAACUAUUAAUUAAAUUAAACAUCAUUAUUAAAAAUGUAUCAAAACUCAAAAGAGCAACAAAUUAUUUGGAAACUAACAAUGAUCCCAAUGUUGAUCAUUAAAAAAAGAUUCAAAGCCUUGAUUAAAUAUAGUAACAAAAGCUUCCAUUUCAUCCCUUUCCCUAACAACACCAAUCUCCAUUACCACAUCACUAUUUUGACUAUCAGUCAAAGGAAAAACGUAUGGUGAUUCAGCGGACACAAUCUCCACUUUUUUUGGUUUUCCAAAUCCAAAAUCAGCGUUAUAAACUCCAAAUCUUGGUGAACCAGCUAGAGAAAUGGCUUGUAUUUUUGAAUAAUCAUUUGUCGCUUGGCUCAUCAUUGACCCCCAAUUCUCAGACCCAUUUAAAGCUCCAUCAUCCAACUUUCUAAUAGCUUUUGAAAUCUCAUCACAAGCCAAAAUUAUUCCAUUUUCACUCAAAAGUUCAAACCUCUCGAGAGAAGUAUACCCACCAACCAAACAAUUCCCAAAGUAAUUCAAUGGCACUUGUGGCUUUAAACGAGUUCUUGCAUCAGCUGCAAACCCAAACCACAAUUUUCCUUCUUUUAAACCUUCUAAUUUGGCUGUACAAACACAAAGAUAAGCUGUUGCUAUUGCAAAUGAAGAUAUGUGAGAAGAAGAAUCAAAAUUUUCGUUUUUGAUCUUCUUGUUCAAGAUCCAUUCCUUUAGCUUUUGAAUGUUUUGGUGUGUGAAUUCUAAAGUGCUUCUAACUAAACCAUGUUUUGUUUGGGGGAAUUUAAGGUUUAGGCUUUUGUUGUUGGGUCCUUCCACAUCUUUCCAUGCUUUUGCAUAGAUUUUUGCAAGAUCUUUUGGAUCAUUUAUAACUGACCUAUCAUAUAAUGGCAUUUGCUUGGGGGUUGGUAUAAAGGAUUCUUCAAUGCAAAUUUGAGCCCAUGAUUUGAUAAAUGAAGUUGAGCUCCUUCC
rnacentral:lncRNA from 1 species